UGUAUUUAUUAGAUAAAAAACCAAUGCCCUUCGGGGCUCCUUGGUGAUUCAUGAUAACUUUACGGAUCGCAUAGCCUUGCGCUGGCGACGGUUCAUUCAAAUUUCUGCCCUAUCAACUUUCGAUGGUAAGGUAUUGGCUUACCAUGGUUUCAACGGGUAACGGGGAAUUAGGGUUCGAUUCCGGAGAGGCAGCCUGAGAAACGGCUACCACAUCCAAGGAAGGCAGCAGGCGCGCAAAUUACCCAAUCCCGACACGGGGAGGUAGUGACAAUAAAUACUGAUACAGGGCUCUUUUGGGUCUUGUAAUUGGAAUGAGUACAAUUUAAACCUCUUAACGAGGAACAAUUGGAGGGCAAGUCUGGUGCCAGCAGCCGCGGUAAUUCCAGCUCCAAUAGCGUAUAUUAAAGUUGUUGCAGUUAAAAAGCUCGUAGUUGAAACUUGGGCCUGGCUGGCGGGUCCGCCUCACCGCGUGCACUCGUCCGGCCGGGCCUUCCUUCUGAAGAACCUCAUGCCCUUCACUGGGCGUGCUGGGGAACCAGG
rnacentral:rRNA from 1 species